UACGGAGGAUGCGAGCGAUAUCCGGAUUUAUUGGGUUUAAAGGGUGCGCAGGCGGAGGCACAAGUCAGCGGUAAAAUCGCGGGGCUCAACCCCGCUCCGCCGUUGAAACUGGCAGUCUCGAGUUGGAGAGAAGUAUGCGGAAUGCGUGGUGUAGCGGUGAAAUGCAUAGAUAUCACGCAGAACUCCGAUUGCGAAGGCAGCAUGCCGGCGCUCAACUGACGCUCAUGCACGAAAGCGUGGGUAUCGAACAGG
rnacentral:rRNA from 1 species